UUUUAUGGAGAGUUUGAUCCUGGCUCAGGACGAACGCUGGCGGCGUGCCUAAUACAUGCAAGUCGAGCGAAUGAUGAGGAAGCUUGCUUCCUCUGAUUUAGCGGCGGACGGGUGAGUAACACGUGGGCAACCUACCUUAUAGUUUGGGAUAACUCCGGGAAACCGGGGCUAAUACCAAAUAAUCUCUUUUACUUCAUGGUGAAAGACUGAAAGACGGCAUCUCGCUGUCGCUAUAGGAUGGGCCCGCGGCGCAUUAGCUAGUUGGUGAGGUAACGGCUCACCAAGGCGACGAUGCGUAGCCGACCUGAG
rnacentral:rRNA from 1 species